GACGAACGCUGGCGGCGUGCUUAACACAUGCAAGUCGAACGGUAAGGCUCCAGCUUGCUGGGGUACACGAGUGGCGAACGGGUGAGUAACACGUGGGUGACCUGCCCUGCACUUCGGGAUAAGCCUGGGAAACUGGGUCUAAUACCGGAUAGGACCGCACCGUGAGGGUGUGGUGGAAAGUUUUUUCGGUGUGGGAUGGGCCCGCGGCCUAUCAGCUUGUUGGUGGGGUAAUGGCCUACCAAGGCGGCGACGGGUAGCCGGCCUGAGAGGGUGGACGGCCACAUUGGGACUGCGACACGGCCCAGACUCCUACGGGAGGCAGCAGUGGGGAAUAUUGCACAAUGGGCGGAAGCCUGAUGCAGCGACGCCGCGUGGGGGAUGACGGCCUUCGGGUUGUAAACUCCUUUCACCAUCGACGAAGGGUUUCUGACGGUAGAUGGAGAAGAAGCACCGGCUAACUACGUG
rnacentral:rRNA from 1 species